rnacentral:rRNA from 1 species
GCUUGCGGGGGAUUAGUGGCGAACGGGUGAGUAACACGUGAGUAACCUGCCCUUAACUCUGGGAUAAGCCUUGGAAACGGGGUCUAAUACUGGAUAUUGACUUUACCUCGCAUGGGGUUUUGUUGAAAGAUUUAUUGGUUUUGGAUGGACUCGCGGCCUAUCAGCUUGUUGGUGAGGUAAUGGCUCACCAAGGCGACGACGGGUAGCCGGCCUGAGAGGGUGACCGGCCACACUGGGACUGAGACACGGCCCAGACUCCUACGGGAGGCAGCAGUGGGGAAUAUUGCACAAUGGGCGAAAGCCUGAUGCAGCGACGCCGCGUGAGGGAUGACGGCCUUCGGGUUGUAAACCUCUUUCAGUAGGGAACAAGGCCAGCAUUUUUGUUGGUUGAGGGUACUUGCAGAAGAAGCGCCGGCUAACUACGUGCCAGCAGCCGCGGUAAUACGUAGGGCGCAAGCGUUAUCCGGAAUUAUUGGGCGUAAAGAGCUCGUAGGCGGUUUGUCGCGUCUGCCGUGAAAGUCCGGGGCUCAACUCCGGAUCUGCGGUGGGUACGGGCAGACUAGAGUGAUGUAGGGGAGACUGGAAUUCCUGGUGUAGCGGUGAAAUGCGCAGAUAUCAGGAGGAACACCGAUGGCGAAGGCAGGUCUCUGGGCAUUAACUGACGCUGAGGAGCGAAAGCAUGGGGAGCGAACAGGAUUAGAUACCCUGGUAGUCCAUGCCGUAAACGUUGGGCACUAGGUGUGGGGGACAUUCCACGUUUUCCGCGCCG